AACGAACGCUGGCGGCAGGCUUAAUACAUGCAAGUCGUGGGGCAGCAUGAGUAGCAAUACUUGAUGGCGACCGGCAAACGGGUGCGGAACACGUACACAACCUUCCUUUCAGCGGGGAAUAGCCCAGAGAAAUUUGGAUUAAUACCCCAUAGCAUAUUAGAGUGGCAUCACUUCUAUAUUAAAGAUUUAUCACUGAAAGAUGGGUGUGCGGCUGAUUAGAUAGUUGGCGGGGUAACGGCCCACCAAGUCUACGAUCAGUAGCUGAUGUGAGAGCAUGAUCAGCAAAACGGGAAAUGAGACACGGGCCCGACUCCUACGGGAGGCAGCAGGAAGGAAUAUUGGUCAAUGGGCGAAAGUCUGAACCAGCCAUGCCGCGUGAAGGAUGAAGGUCCUCUGGAUUGUAAACUUCUUUUAUAUGGGACGAAAAAAGGUCAUUCUUGAUCACUUGACGGUACCAUUUGAAUAAGCACCGGCUAACUCCGUGCCAGCCGCCGCCGUAAUAC
rnacentral:rRNA from 1 species